CCUACGGGAGGCAGCAGUGAGGAAUAUUGGUCAAUGGACGAGAGUCUGAACCAGCCAAGUAGCGUGCAGGAUGACUGCCCUAUGGGUUGUAAACUUCUUUUAUAAAGGAAUAAAACGAGGCACGUGUGCCUCUUUGCAUGUACUUUAUGAAUAAGGAUCGGCUAACUCCGUGCCAGCAGCCGCGGUAAUACGGAGGAUCCGAGCGUUAUCCGGAUUUAUUGGGUUUAAAGGGAGCGUAGAUGGGUUGUUAAGUCAGUUGUGAAAGUUUGCGGCUCAACCGUAAAAUUGCAAUUGAUACUGGCAGUCUUGAGUACAGUUGAGGUAGGCGGAAUUCGUGGUGUAGCGGUGAAAUGCUUAGAUAUCACGAAGAACCCCGAUUGCGAAGGCAGCUUACUAAACUGUGACUGACAUUGAUGCUCGAAAGUGUGGGUAUCAAACAGGAUUAGAUACCCUUGUAGUC
rnacentral:rRNA from 1 species